UUAGAAUUAGGAUCAUUG
rnacentral:rRNA from 1 species